AACAACAUUGGCGAGCCAAUCGGGAUAUGUAGCUUCCCUGAUGAAGCCCGCCUCGAGUAGCUUGUCCACCUCUUCGUCGAUGGCCUCCUGUCUUUCAGGAGCAAAAGACCUUUUCUUCUGCCUCACCGGCCUCAUCGUCGGGUCGAUGUUGAGUCGGUGCGUUAUUGUCUCCGGGGGAAUGCCCGACAUAUCUGCUGCCGACCAAGCAAAUAUGUCGGCAUUGGCCUUCAGCAGCUCCGCCAACCGUCGUCGUUCUGGGUCGGGUAGCUGAGACCCGACCCAUACCUGUCGGUCGGGGUUCUCCGCUAUCGAGAUGGGAACGAGCUGUUC
rnacentral:lncRNA from 1 species